rnacentral:rRNA from 1 species
AGCCAGUGAUGGCAUGCGAAUCUCGAAAGCCUAUCUCAGUUCGGAUUGGAGGCUGAAACCCGCCUCCAUGAAGUUGGAUUCGCUAGUAAUCGCGCAUCAGCCAUGGCGCGGUGAAUACGUUCCCGGGCCUUGUACACACCGCCCGUCAAGCCAUGGGAGCCGGGGGUGCCUGAAGUUCGUUACCGUAAGGAUCGACCUAGGGCAAAACUGGUGACUGGGGCUAAGUCGUAACAAGGUAAC